UGCCAAUUGCCAUCCCUAAUUCUGAUACUCUCCUCUAUGCAGGCAAAGAAGACUCCAAAAUCCAUUGUUUAUCCUUCAGAGUCUGCAACAGAAAAGUCAAGUGUCACCUUCCUACCAGUUGGGUGGAUAAAAUGAGCCUUAAAAAAAGAAACAACAGAAAACAACACCUCCCCCACCCCAAACUGGAAGCCUUGGAAAUCUCCAACGAACAGGCAAAAAUCAAGCGUGCAAAGCAAAUCAUAAUACUUGGGGAUUGACAAUCCACAUUUCAUCAGAGUGAAUUAGACCGCCCUGCCACAGCUCCUCCAAGAUCCUCAUUGCCGGACUGCAGCGGAGAUCGCUCCAAUGGCUCAGAGGGGAGAGAGGCUUCAGGGAGCUGCUCUGCAUACUCUGC